rnacentral:rRNA from 1 species
AGAGUUUGAUCCUGGCUCAGCCUGAACGCUGGCGGCGUGGCUAAGACAUGCAAGUCGUACGAUCCCCGCAAGGGGAUAGUGGCGAACGGGUGAGUAAUGUAUCGCUAACGUGCCCCCGAGUCUGGGAUAGCCGGCCGAAAGGCCGGGUAAUACCAGAUAAGACCACGGAGUCGCAUGGCUCUGUGCUCAAAGGGAAACCGCUCAGGGAGCGGGCGAUAUCGUAUCAGCUGGUUGGUAGGGUAACGGCCUACCAAGGCGACGACGCGUAGCCGGACUGAGAGGUCGACCGGCCACAUCGGGACUGAGACACUGCCCGGACUCCUACGGGGGGCUGCAGUAACGAAUCUUCCACAAUGCACGCAAGUGUGAUGGAGCGACGCCGCGUGUGGGAUGAAGUCCUUCGGGAUGUAAACCACUGUCAGGGGAAAGAAAGUACUGAUCUACCCCAGAGGAAGGCACGGCUAACUCUGUGCCAGCCGCCGCGGUAAUAC